GAUGAAGAACGUAGCGAAAUGCGAUAAGUAGUGUGAAUUGCAGAAUUCAGUGAAUCAUCGAAUCUUUGAACACACAUUGCGCCUUCUAGUAUUCUGGGAGGCAUGCCUGUUUGAGCGUCAUUAAACCUCUCUCAAGUAUGAUUACUUGGAUGUGAAGGAAGAGUACCUUAAACUUAAGGAGUGUUCUCCUUUGAAAUUGAUUAGCAGAUGGUAAUGUUAUUAAAUCCCUGAUGUUGUAAGAAAUAACAGUGGUUUUGUAGACUAUUAUCUAGCUUUAAAUUAUAAUUUUUAUUAUGGUUGACCUCAAAUCAGGUAAGGAUACCCGCUGAACUUAAGCAUAUCAAUAAGCGGAGGA
rnacentral:misc_RNA from 1 species